GAUGAACGCUGGCGGCGUGCCUAAUACAUGCAAGUCGAGCGAACGGACGAGAAGCUUGCUUCUCUGAUGUUAGCGGCGGACGGGUGAGUAACACGUGGAUAACCUACCUAUAAGACUGGGAUAACUUCGGGAAACCGGUGCUACUACCGGAUAAUAUUUUGAACCGCAUGGUUCAAAAGUGAAAGACGGUCUUGCUGUCACUUAUAGAUGGAUCCGCGCUGCAUUAGCUAGUUGGUAAGGUAACGGCUUACCAAGGCAACGAUGCAUAGCCGACCUGAGAGGGGGAUCGGCCACACUGGAACUGAGAAACGGUCCAGACUCCUACGGGAGGCAGCAGUAGGGAAUCUUCCGCAAUGGGCGAAAGCCUGACGGAGCAACGCCGCGUGAGUGAUGAAGGUCUUCGGAUCGUAAAACUCUGUUAUUAGGGAAGAAAAUAUGUGUAAGUAAAUGUGCACAUCUUGACGGUACCUAAUCAGAAAGCCACGGCUAACUACGUG
rnacentral:rRNA from 1 species